AUCAUGAUAAGGACCACAGGUCUGGUGGAGCCACAGCAUUGGUUGCAAAAGGGAAAAUGUUCGUAGGGGCUCUCUGUGGGCCCAGGGUAAUUUACUCUGGGACACUUGACACAGCAGGAAGUGAGGGAGCGGGUAGUGUAAGAGCAGCUGGAACACCUGGAGAAACUUGAUACUUGGAGAGAACUGUGGAUUCAACAUCUUCAUUUCAUUUGCUACCUGAAAUUGGAAAACAGAAAGUGAGAGCAAUAAAGGAAACCCGGUCUCAUCCCUCUCUCCCAGACAUCUGCUGUACUAUCUACAAAGCCACACCAUCUUGGGAGGGAGAGUUGAAAUGGUAAAG